CGGUACUUCGGGGAGGGUCCGUAAUGACGUGUUUAGGGCCGAUUUUUGUAGUUUACCUGAUUAUUUGACAGACUUGGAUUUAACUGCCUUUGAUUUUAUAGGCCUCAAUUUCAAUUAAAUAAAGUCGAAUUUCGACUACUGUGGGACCACUACUUAGUAUUAACUAAGUAGGUUGAAUGCAAAUAAUAUUAUAAGGUAGGUACUUAUAAAAUAAAUAAAUUGUUUUCGUCAAUGAGUCGUUUAGAAACAUCUCACAGUCGACCGCCACUACAACCGGUAUUACGAGUAUUUCGCUUUAAUAAUAAUUUACUCAAUGAAUAACGCCGUGAGAACAGCAACCUAUUCACGAACCGAUGUAAUUAUUUUUCGUUUCAAAUGAAUUUAAUUUAAAUCAAUUUAAUUAUGCAUGUUUUUGUAGUGUAGUUAAAAUAAUGUAAGGACCGACCGACCGACCGACCGUGACCACGAAAACUGUGAGCUAUAACGAAACGUCAGAAAUUGUAUUGUAAUGAAUGAAUGAUAAUAUUAAAUAGUUAAGUUUUAGAUAAGUAUGUCCUGAAAACCUUGAAAAAAUUUUUUUUUUUUUUUUUUAAACAAUGAAUAUCUGAUUGUCAUCCUCGCCUGGUUACGCUGGCAUAACCCCAUGUGUUUGUUACAUUGAUUUAAAUAUACUUCAACUCUCUGGUUUGUUACCAGUAUAGGUAUAUAGAAAAAAAAAAGAUUGAAUGUAGCCUCCUUAGGCUUCUUUUCUUCAGUAAUUUCGACAAUUAAUUUGUGUAUAGUAUCUAAAAAACGUAUUUCUCAAAACAAUAGAAGUAUCAAAACAGAGGCAUGUUUUUGUGCUCGCAUGAAAUAAAAUUAAUUAGAAAUAACACUUUUUGUAUUUGUUUUUUGCGCAUUCAAAUUGAGUGGGUGGGUCUUUAAGCCAGCGACAUAAGCUUUAAUACACAAGACACUUCAAAAUGAAUCCCUCAGACUACUGUGAAAAAGGGCCCUAACGGUUAUUACCAUUACUAAGAGAAAAUACACUGGAAAUGGACCAUUUCAAAAAUGGAACAAGGAACCCAAACCCAAAUAAUAAGAAAUUCCUUUAUCUUUUCAUCAAAGAAAAGUCAAACCUUCACUGUAUGUAGGCAUAGCAAGUAAUAAAAUACUUUUUGGUUAACGUUGUAAAGUUUCAAACAAUAGAAAGAAAACAUUACAUGUCAAAACUAUUUUUUCAUUAAUUUUAGUGUUUUUUGUGUAAAUUGUAUUUAUAGGUAUUUAAUUGGUAAUACUUUUUAUUUGGUUUAACUGUUAUAGCACACAGGAGCUUAAAUAAAUAUUGUUGAUAAAUUUAGUCAAUUUGCUGGGAACAUUUUUGCUGGUGAUUGCAGAAAAUGUACUAUAUGCUGUCAAACUAAGCUAAGCUUGAGCAUGUGAAUAAUAUACUUAAUUUAAGACUAAAAUUAUUGUAAGAUUUCCAUUGAUAUACAUCGCCAAUUGUAUAUUUGUUUCAAUUAGACCUAUUCUAUAAUUUGUUCUACCAGAAUGAAUUUAAUAUAUAAGAAAAAAAGAUUAUUUGUAACAAUAUCAUAUCUGAAAAUAAACAAUAAAACAUUUUUUUGUUAUGUGUAAUGCAAACUUUACUAUUGGGAACCCUUUGAUAAAACAACAAACAGUAAAUUUUAACAUAAUAAUAUGUUUUCUACUCAGUAUACUCUGCUUACAGACCCUAUGCAAAAUAAACAUUUUAUUAAGUUAAAUUUGUUAAGUUCCUUCAACUUUAUUCAUUUGUUUUCUUGUCUUUUCGACUACCCUACAUUUUAAUUACAUGUAACAAAAUUGUUAACAGACAUUUCUCCAUUUGUUUGAUUACACUCCACAAUAUCUGAAUUGGUUUUGAUGUGGUUCUCAAUGAGAUGUACAACUUAUAUGCUUGUAAGCAAUGAAUUACUUUUUUAAGUUGUAUUCUAAUAGAUAUGUGACAAGCAAAUGCAUGUUGAUUUAAAAAAACAAUUUAAUUCAACUGGUUUUUGUUUUACUAAUAGAUAAUUGUGAAACACCUACACAAUGCACAUUUUUUAUGUUAUUAAAAGUAUUGUGUUAUACUGCUUUGAACAUUAAAGAACGUUAAAAAGAAUAAAUCUAUUUACUCUAUGAUAUUAAAAUUUUUAAAUAGAAAUUAGUUUGAACAAUUUUAUUAAGCAAGAAUAAAAUGAUUUACCACAGAAUCGGACAACUUAAAAAAAAUAACUAUUACUGUGUGUUUUAGAUCUCUGUAACGUUUUCAUAACUAGUUUUGAGGAGUAAUGAUUUGUUGCCUUUUAUGGUCAUUUCAUUGUCUUGAUUAAAAUUAAUUGAAUUCAUUAACUUCAAUAAAUAUGUUUUGCAAGUGAUUCAUUCAUAUGAAUGGCUAUAUAUACAACAAUUUAAUUGAUUAUUACAGGGCAAUUUUAUGAACAUAUCUUGGGUACAUUUUAUAAAAAAAAUAAAAAUAUGAAAAAUUAGUGUCUAGUGUUUACCUUCAAGACAAACGACUUGCACGCUGUCUUGCUUCAGCCUCUUGAGGAGUAUACCGUGGACAGAGUCAGGGUCUCUGGGAGGUCCAUCACCGUACAACACGAAUAUACCACGGGUUCGACAGUGGUUUAUCCUCGCCUUCAACUCUUUGCACUGCACUGUUGAUGACAACUCAAUCUUCCCAGCAGCUAACCGCCUAAGCAUUAUUGUUGGGAUGGAAAAGUUCACAGCGGAACGGAUGUGCGAUACAGAAUACUCGUUUGAGCCCCGACAAUCUAUCAAUACGGUGUCUCUUUCGUCUGAACGUAACUUUGCAAGGAGCCAUUCUUUCGACACCAGGUCGCAUUCGCAUUCUGAAUCCAUAGGCAUCUUGAUAGUACACUGUUUUCUUCUGUUUACACGGACUUUUUACCACUUUGAAUACCCUGUUGCAUCAAUACCUACAUGCAACCUCGAUAAUAAUGAAUGUACACAAAAUUUACAAAAACACACUUAUUUAAAAAAACACAAGAAAACAAAAUUAAGUGCCUUAACAUAAAAUUAUCAAAUUAUUUUUAGCGUUCAGCACAUCCGAGCUGAACGCAGGACGGCGUAACAAAA